rnacentral:misc_RNA from 1 species
AACGCACCUUGCGCCCCUUGGUAUUCCGAGGGGCAUGCCUGUUUGAGUGUCAUUUUAUCAUCAACUCAUUAGUCUUUGAUUAGGCUUUUGGGCUUGGACUUGGGAAUUGCUGGCUUGAUCUUUUUACCCAUUGAACAGUAUCUAAUACUUAAUAGAGGGCAAAGUGUAGUCGGCUGUCCUUAAAUGCAUUAGCGAGUGUUAGUCUACAUGGCACGGCCUCUUGACGUGAUAAUGAUCGUCGUGGGCUGGAAGUGUAGUGUCUGGCUUCUAAAACCCGAUUGCGUGCAUACGGCCCAUAAAGCUGGAAGCGCAAUCAAAUCCGACUACGUGCAUACGGCCCAUAAAGCUGGAAGCGUAGUCAAAAUGACAAGUUUGACCUCAAAUCAGGUAGGACUACCCGCUGAACUUAA